rnacentral:lncRNA from 1 species
CUCUACUCUGAAGUUCUUUCGAACUUUGUCAAUGUCCGAGCUUCUCCGACAAUAGGAUUUCUACAGUAAUCAAACUCCAUCCAAGUUUCUACGACGGUCGACCGUCCUCCGAAUUUCAUCUGAGCUCUUAUAAGAGCCGGAUCCCAGCCGAAUUCCUACAGUGGAUGGAUCACAGACAAACUUCUACAACGGGACAGCCUCCACC